UCUGGUUGAUCCUGCCAGUAGUGAUAUGCUUGUUUCAAAGAUUAAGCCAUGCAUGUCUAAGUAUAAGCGAACUUAUACAGUGAAACUGCGGAUGGCUCAUUAAAACAGUUUGAAUUUAUUUGAUGAAUGUAUGAGAAUACUACUUGGAUAACCGUAGUAAUUCUAGAGCUAAUACAUGCAACGACGCCCGACCGUUUCACUACGGAAGGGCUGUAUUUAUUGGAUACCAAAACCAUCCUUCCCUCGGGAAGUUUUGUUUGAUGAUUCACAAUAACUGAUCGGAUCGCCACUGUGGUGGCGACAGGUCAUUCAACAUUCUGCCCUAUCAGCUUUCGAUGGUUGUGUAGUGGACAACCAUGGCCAUAACGGGUAACGGAGAAUCAGGGUUCGAUUCCGGAGAAGGAGCUUGAGAAUUGGCUACUACAUCUAAGGAAGGCAGCAGGCGCGCAAAUUACCCAAUCCCGAUUCGGGGAGGUAGUGACAAAAAAUAACAAUACCGGGCCUUUUUGGGCUUGGUGAUUGGAAUGAGGGAGAGUUAAACGGACCAUCGAGUAUCCAUUGGAGGGCAAGUCUGGUGCCAGCAGCUGCGGUAAUACCAGCUCCAAUAGCGUAUAUUAAAGUUGUUGCAGUUAAAAAGCUCGUAGUUGGACUUGUGUGCGCUGUCCGCGGGUGGCCUGCGCCCAAAAGGGCGUUUCGGUUCGGCCCCGGUGGCGCCUUGAAAUCUGCAGCUGGGGGGACGUUGGCCUUAACUGGUCGGCGACCGCACGCCGGCUGCUCGGUUACUGUGAGAAAAUUAGAGUGUUCAAGGCAGGCAUUGGGUGCAAUUGAAUACAUUAGCAUGGAAUAAUAAAAUAUGGCUCCUGCCGUAUUUUGUUGGUUUUGACUGGUGGGAGUAAUGAUUGAUAGGGACGGUUGGGGGUGCUAGUAUUGAGCGGCCAGAGGUGAAAUUCAUGGAUUCGCUCAAGACUAACUUAUGCGAAAGCAUUCACCAAGGACGUCCUCUUUAAUCAAGAACGAAAGUUGGGGGAUCGAAGACGAUCAGAUACCGUCGUAGUCUCAACCAUAAACUAUGUCGACUUGGGAUCGGCGGUAGUUUUUUCAUUAAGACACUGUCGGGACCACGGGAGAAAUCAAAGUGUCUGGACUCUGGGGGAAGUAUGGUCGCAAGGCUGAAACUUGAAGGAAUUGACGGAAGGGCACCACCAGGAGUGGAGCCUGC
rnacentral:rRNA from 1 species